UACGGGGGGGGCAAGCGUUGUUCGGAAUUACUGGGCGUAAAGGGCGCGUAGGCGGCCUUCUAAGUCAGACGUGAAAUCCCUCGGCUCAACCGAGGAACUGCGUCUGAUACUGGAAGGCUUGAAUCCGGGAGAGGGAUGUGGAAUUCCAGGUGUAGCGGUGAAAUGCGUAGAUAUCUGGAGGAACACCGGUGGCGAAGGCGGCAUCCCGGACCGGUAUUGACGCUGAGGCGCGAAAGCUAGGGGAGCAAACGGG
rnacentral:rRNA from 1 species